UACAGAGGUCUCAAGCGUUGUCCGGAAUUAUUGGGCGUAAAGAGCUCGUAGGCGGUGUGUCGCGUCGGCCGUGAAAACCUGCAGCUUAACUGUGGGCUUGCGGUCGAUACGGGCAUCACUGGAGUUCGGCAGGGGAGACUGGAAUUCCUGGUGUAGCGGUGAAAUGCGCAGAUAUCAGGAAGAACACCCGUGGCGAAGGCAGCACUCUGGGACGUGACUGGACGCUGAGACGCGAAAGCGUGGGGAGCAAACAGG
rnacentral:rRNA from 1 species